rnacentral:rRNA from 1 species
UACAGAGGGUGCGAGCGUUGUUCGGAAUUAUUGGGCGUAAAGGGCGCGUAGGCGGCGCGACAAGUCACCUGUGAAACCUCUGGGCUUAACCCAGAGCCUGCAGGCGAAACUGUCGUGCUGGAGUAUGGGAGAGGUGCGUGGAAUUCCCGGUGUAGCGGUGAAAUGCGCAGAUAUCGGGAAGAACACCCGUGGCGAAGGCGGCACUCUGGGACGGUACUGACGCUGAGACGCGAAAGCGUGGGGAGCGAACAGG